rnacentral:misc_RNA from 1 species
GUGAAUUAAAACCGCUUGGGUGUCUCUGCUUCGGCAAGCCCCUCGCACUUCACAUCCAUAACACCUGUGCACUGUAAGGCUUGAGGCUUCGGCCCCUCGCCUGACCUUUUAUAAACUAUUAUACGUAACAAAUGUAGUCUUAUUAUAACCUAAUA